UAAGCGGAGGAAAAGAAACUAACCAGGAUUCCCCUAGUAACGGCGAGCGAACCGGGAAAAGCCCAACGUGAAAAUCUCCUUCCUUCGGAAGGCGAAUUGUAGUCUAUAGACGCGUGCUCUGUGCCGCGUCGUGCCCAAGUCCUUUAGCACAAGGCGUCCGAGAGGGUGAGAACCCCGUGGGGCACGACGUGAGGCACUCCACGAGCCGUUGUCGUCGAGUCGGGUUGAUUGGGAAUUCAGCCCAAAGCAGGUGGUAAAUCCCAUCUAAGGCUAAAUACUGACGGGAGACCGAUAGCGAACAAGUACCGUGAGGGAAAGAUGAAAAGAACUUUGAAAAGAGAGUGAAAAGUACUUGAAAUUGUUGAGAGGGAAGAGAUGGUGUCUCCGCGGGUGCGUCCAGGUACACGGUUGCACUGGUUGUUGCCUGAAUACACUGGACGCUGGUCAGCAUGUGUUGGUUCCGUCGGACAAGGGUCGGGGUUGUUACCCGGCUUAUGCGACGGGGCCGACAGAGGGAAUCCCAGGCGCUCUUUGAGAUCCAUUUGGAAUCUGCGUCUGCCUGAUGCUGGCGGAAGGGGCCUCAUCUGCCCGUCUUGAAACACGGACCAAGGAGUCUAACGUGUAUGCGAGCUGGUGGGCGGAAAACCCACGAAGCGCAAGGAACCUGACUGGUGCGAUGUUUUUCGGAACUGCAGCAUCGACCUCUCUUGAUCUUCUGUGAUGGAUGAGAGUACGAGUAUACACGCUGGGACCCGAAAGAUGGUGAACUAUGCCUGAAUAGGGCGAAGCCAGAGGAAACUCUGGUGGAGGCUCGUAGAUGUGCUGACGUGCAAAUCGCUUUUCGGACUUGGGUAUAGGGGCGAAAGACUAAUCGAACCAUCUAGUAGCUGGUUCCCCCCGAAGUUUCCCUCAGGAUAGCUGGAGCUUUUUAGUUUUAUCGGGUAAAGCGAAUGAUUAGUGGCCUCGGGGAUGUAACAUCCUCGACCAAUUCUCAAACUUUAAAUAGGUAAGAGUCGCGGUUGCCUAAUCGAACCGUGGCGUUAAAUACAAGCUCCAAGUGGGCCAUUUUUGGUAAGCAGA
rnacentral:rRNA from 1 species